AGUUUGGAGCCGUCGUUGUUACUCAGCUUGGCUGGAGAAAGAGCCCUCUCUUCACCUGCACCGGGACAGACAAACAGCCAUUAGACAGGUUUUACGGUGAUGAAUAUCACGCACCGUAGUGAGCAGAGUUGAUGGCAAGCUCAAUGAUGGAGUCACUGAUGUGUGUUUGAGGUUCUCCGGGGGCUAGAGCCUCUUCAGGCGGCCCAGGCAAAGAGAUGUCCAGGAGUGACGCUACGCUGGGUGGAGGGAGGAGCGAGUCCCCACCACUAAUCGCUAUAGGAGACGGUGGAGGCAAACCAUUCUGAGGAAAGAACAAGUGGCACGCAUUAUGGGAUGGCUAUAUUUAUUCCUAGAAUUGUCAUAAAUGGUGGCAGUGUAGUCAUAAAUGAUUCACAUUUACUAGAUGGAAUGAUUACAUCUUAAAAUAUCAGAUCAGAUGUCCAUUGGAGAAAAAAAAUUGUUAUCUGACAAAAUGAAAAUGAAUAUUACAGUUAAUAGCAAGAGGCCUUGUUUAAUUACUUGGUUAUUAGUUACAACAUGAGUCAUUUUGUCACUGAUUUUUCCACCACUAAUAGAGCAUCUGUUCCUGACCUCUGGGACGUUUUGCUGGAGGAGCUGUGGGUCUGGUUCGGCAUCAUCAGUGGGUGUGGGUGUGGGUGUGAGCAGAGUGUCGUUAUCCACAGAGGGAGAGUCAACACUCCGACAGGGACUACCAGGAAUGAUGCCUGCAGACUUAGCUGCCAGAUCAAUGGCACCUGAAAGAGCAGAAACGGUUUAGACACACCAAGGAUUUCCCCACAUUGGCUCAUACAUGUAAAACAGGGAAACGGUACAUACUGGAGAGCUGACUGGUGGUUGCAGAACUUGGUGCUGCAGCUGGAACCUUGGAAACGAUGGAGCGGGGCGAAGGAGCAGGGCGAGUAUGGAUGGGCCGGAAAGAUCCAGUUCCUGAGGGACGAAAAAUCAAUUACUACCUGCAGAGGAGUUGGAGAGGAUGGAAAAGGAGCAGACGUGCGGAGAAGUGUCUCCUGUAGUUCGGGGCAGCAGUGUUCGCUACACAGGCAAGAUGUAAUAAAAUGUUUAGUCUAUCAAAACAAGGCAAGGAGUAAUAAAUUAUGUUUACUUCAAUACCAAUAUAAAAAAACUCUUCACUUACUUGAACUACAAGAGGUUUACGGAGUUGUCUGCUCCGAGGUUUUCUCUGUCGGGAAAGGAAAAGAUCUGACUGCAUCUAUAAGAGGGUAAUAAAAUAAAUUAAU